UACGUAGGGGGCUAGCGUUGUCCGGAAUCAUUGGGCGUAAAGAGCGUGUAGGCGGCCCGGUAAGUCCGCUGUAAAAGUCAAAGGCUCAACCUUUGAAAGCCGAUGGAUACUGCUGAGCUAGAGUACGGAAGAGGCGAGUGGAAUUCCUGGUGUAGCGGUGAAAUGGCGCAGAUAUCAGGAGGAACACCGGUGGCGAAGGCGGAUCUCUGGGCCUUACCUGACGCUGAGGCGCGAAAGCUAGGGGAGCGAACAGG
rnacentral:rRNA from 1 species